rnacentral:rRNA from 1 species
CGAACGCUGGCGGCAGGCCUAACACAUGCAAGUCGAACGGCUCUUCGGAGCAGUGGCGGACGGGUGAGUAACGCGUGGGAACGUGCCCUUUGGUUCGGAACAACACAGGGAAACUUGUGCUAAUACCGGAUGAGCCCUUCGGGGGAAAGAUUUAUCGCCAUUGGAGCGGCCCGCGUUGGAUUAGGUAGUUGGUGGGGUAAAGGCCCACCAAGCCGACGAUCCAUAGCUGGUCUGAGAGGAUGAUCAGCCACACUGGGACUGAGACACGGCCCAGACUCCUACGGGAGGCAGCAGUGGGGAAUCUUGCGCAAUGGGCGAAAGCCUGACGCAGCCAUGCCGCGUGAAUGAUGAAGGUCUUAGGAUUGUAAAAUUCUUUCACCGGGGAAGAUAAUGACGGUACCCGGAGAAGAAGCCCCGGCUAACUUCGUGCCAGCAGCCGCGGUAAUACGAAGGGGGCUAGCGUUGCUCGGAAUUACUGGGCGUAAAGGGCGCGUAGGCGGACAGUUUAGUCAGAGGUAAAAGCCCAGGGCUCAACCUUGGAACUGCCUUUGAUACUGGCUGUCUUGAGUUCGGGAGAGGUGAGUGGAAUGCCGAGUGUAGAGGUGAAAUUCGUAGAUAUUCGGCGGAACACCAGUGGCGAAGGCGACUCACUGGCCCGAUACUGACGCUGAGGCGCGAAAGCGUGGGGAGCAAACAGG